GGCUGGAGUGGUCAUAGGCUGCAUUAUAGGGGUAGGGAUUGUGAUCGCGCUGAUUGUGGCGUGCUGUGUUAAGGGUUGCUGCAGUACACAAAGCCCGGGCGUUGUGUUCACCCAACAACCGCAAGGCAUGACGGUGUCCCAUGUGUCAGCUUCCCAUAUGAAUCAAGGCUAUGUCCAUGGCUACGGACAGGGUCCUCCGCCGUACAGCACCGCGUCCGCCUAUCCCGGUACAUAUCCUGCAGCAGGGCAGAAAGUUAUGUAUCAGCCUCCCUACACGGCUAAUCCGCCGCCCAUGCAGCAACACCCGCAAAAUGCGCCCAUGCACUCUCCGGUCAGCCAGGCCCCUCAAAUUGCUUCAGACAUGUCCUACCUGGCACCCGUUGGGAGUUCUGUGCCUUCUACCCCCAAUGUCGAGAUUGGAGACGAUGACAGGACCUACGAAAGACUGCAAGUACAGAAGUGAAUGAACUCUCUGUCUCUCCUCUCUCUCUUUCCACAGAAAUGACCAUACCUAAUUUACAUAUAUGUCUACCGUUAACGUCUCAAAUUUUUGUUUGUAUUGUCGAAAGUCUAUCUCAUUAACAAAAUAAUAGUAUUAUUAUUCAUAGAUAUUUACGUGCCACUAAAGCAUCGCGAAUAGACAUAUCGUGGAGUCGUUGAUGGUUUCGAAGAAUUUACUAAACGGAAAAUUUAAGC